CGUGGGGAGCAAACAGGACGAUACCCUGGUAGUCCACGCCCUAAACGAUGUCAACUAGUUGCUGGGGCCUUUCGGCCUUGGUAGCGCAGCUAACGCGGUGAAGUUGACCGCUGGGGAGUACGGUCGCAAGAUUAAAACUCAAAGGAAUUGACGGGGACCCGCACAAGCGGUGGAUGAUGUGGACACCGGAUGCAACGAAGAAAACCUUACCUACCCUUGACAUGUCUGAAUCCCAAAGAGAUUUGGGAGUGCUCGCAAGAGAACCGGAACACAGGUGCUGCAUGGCUGUCGUCAGCUCGUGUCGUGAGAUGUUGGGUUAAGUCCCGCAACGAGCGGCAACCUGUCAUUAGUUAAGCAUGAAAGGGCACUCGACGAGACUGCCGGUGACAAACCGGAGGAAGGUGGGGAUGACGUCAAGUCCGCAUGGCCCUUGCGGUAGGGCUUCACAUCGUCAUACAAUGGCGACACAGAGGUCGCCAACCCGCGAGGGGGAGCCAAUCCCAGAAAACCUGAUCAGUCCCGGAUCGCAGUCUGCAACUUUGAUCAUGUGAAGUCGGAAUCGCUAGUAAUCGCGGAUCAGCAUGUCGCGGUGAAUACGUUCCGGUCUUGUACACACCGCCCGUCACACCAUGGGAGGCGGGUUUUACCAGAAGUAGUUAGCCCAACCGUAAGAGGGCGAUUACCACGGUAGAUUCAUAUGACUGGGGUGAAGUCGCACAAGGUAG
rnacentral:misc_RNA from 1 species